GGUCGCCGGUCGCUGCCAUUUGAGUGCAGCGAAAGCUCUUGGUCAAAUCAAACCUCUUGGAGUUGAGAUCUCAAACAGGAUGAUGCUUUAUGUUUGAGUACACCCUGAAGGGACUGGAAGGAUACCAUAGUCAAGCA